GCUCCAUCAUGCUCAAGGGAGUCAGGAGUGCAUCUUUGGGGGCCCCGACUCUAGUGCCCUCACCACAGCAACAACCAAGGCCAACGGCACACACCACACACUCGCCACUUCACACAAAACUGCCUUCCCCACUGGGAUCUCAUGAACACCUGGCAACCGCCACAUCAGCAAACUGAGGCCCACAGACAUGGAGGGACUUGCCCAAGGUCACACAGCCAGAGAGGAGCAGAGUUGAUGAGAAUGCCAGCUCACACUUUUACAUUCUCUGCUGUGUGCCAGGCAUUGGGCUGGGUCUCUCUCACAACAACCCACCGAGCACGUCCCACCCCCUUUCCCAGCUUCAUCAUUCCUCUGCAGCCUUUACCGUGCUCCCAAAGCCCGCAUGCCUUGCUCGCUUCUGUGGCCAUCACUAUCCGACUGUGAGCUCCACCAGGACGGCACUGUGGUCUGACACAUUCAGUGCUGCAGGCUCAGCACCUAGCAAGUGCCGAGCACCUAGAAGGUUCUCAAGGAAGAGUUAUGAAAUGAAGGCAUGCUCUGCGGAUGUGUGGGAAGCAGUUUCUUCCUCAGGAGCUGACAUCUUCCUUUGUUCAUUUGCUGAUGCUUCGUGGACAUCCUUCCACGCCGAAUCUCACAGCCCUGCCCCAUUCCUUUCAGCGGCUGUGCGGUGGUGUCCCAAGGUCUGGACGGCUCCUGGUUUUAGAAGCUGGCCCCUCUUUAUGGACAUUUGGACUGUUUCUGAUUUUUGCUAUCCCAAGCCACGCCCCCCGCGCUGGUGGCCACCAUCCAGGAAGUGGAGAAGCUCCCGGCUGAAGCCAGCUCAGCUCCUCGGCAGAGCUGCAGUGGACCCUGGGUGCCCGGCGGGCUGGGCGGGACGCUGGAGCUGGAGGAGAGGCAGAGCUUACGCGUUUGCCAUUCAUACAUUGAGACUUAAUUCAUAAAAACAUCUAAUUGUGGGGUGCCAGUAUUUAAUUGUAAUUUUGGUAAUGACCUGCAACUGCAUACAAAUUACAGGGUAAUCAACUCAACCGUGCUGACAGCUGCUAUAAAUGCCAUUUCAUCUAACGUGGAGCUCCCGAGCCAGUGUCUCUGGGGCUCAGGCAAGGGCAGGGUGCAGGGGAUGUUUUCCAUUUGGCUUUUUAUGUCAAGACAAGGUGAGAGGCACGUGUAAAUGUCAGCUGCCACACAUUUUUGCCUACCCUUCGUCUCGGCCCAUGAAGUGUGGCCUCCUCAUAGGCCCCAGGCAGAACUGCAGCAAGAGGGACUUAGGCUAAGCCCAGAUGGAAUCUAGAAGGGUUUGGGAGGUAGAAGAGAAAGGCGCCUCCCGGGGUUGGCUUGGGGCAGGGUGGGGAGCUCUGAGACAGGGGCAUGGCUGAGUUGACUUUCCCUGGACCCUUCGGGGGUGGACCAAAUCAGAGGUCAGAAACUGGUGGUCCCUGAUACGUUUUGACCUUCACAGUGCUCUAAAAUAUACAUCUGAAAACCUUGGGCAGGACACAUGCUCGCUUUUGCACCACACUCCCCACUGCUCUCUGUCCUCGUGCCCACAGCCCACCACUUCCUCCACUUUCACUGUCACCUUUCCUAGCUGGGUCCCGUCGGCAUGAAUUGCUGGCGCCUUUCCAGAGGAGGGGUCUGUGGUCAGAGGAAUGUGGGCUUUGAGCUGGACACUCAAGGGCGAUGUCUGUACUCUGUCCCUUGCCAGCUGAGCUGCUGUUGGCAAGGAAGGAACCUCUCUGUGCCUGUGUGUGUGGGGGCGUGUGUGAGAGAGAGAGGUUACACACAACACGCCGGGCCGGCACGCAGCGGGCACCGGCACACCCUGCAGCUGGCGAGGCAGUGGGAGCAGCGUGUGCUGGUGCACAGCACGCAGGCCCUGUCCUAGCCCAGGCGCCGGAGCCUCCUGCAUGUGCAUCGCUGCUCCCCCUCUUGAGGUCACAGUGUCUCUACCUGUGACACAGGGAUGGUGAUACAGAGUGCCCCCUACUCCUGAGGGCCAUAUAAUGAGGUCAUGAGCAUGAAGGGUUGAACAGUGCCGGGCACAUGGAGGCAAUCAAUAAACACUAGCUGUCUGCCAGCACC